rnacentral:rRNA from 1 species
CAGUCGCCGCGGUAAUACAGAGGCCUCAAGCGUUGUUCGGAUUCAUUGGGCGUAAAGGGUGCGUAGGUGGCUUGGUAAGUUGAAGGUGAAAUCUCGGGGCUUAACCCCGAAACUGCCUUCAAUACUGCUAGGCUCGAGGACUGUAGAGGAGAAUGGAAUUCACGGUGUAGCAGUGAAAUGCGUAGAUAUCGUGAGGAAGACCAGUGGCGAAGGCGAUUCUCUGGGCAGUUCCUGACACUGAGGCACGAAGGCCAGGGGAGCAAACGGGAUUAGAUACCCGUGUAGUCCCUGUCUCUUAUAC